AUCAAACCUGAGUCCCCUGCAUUGGAAGGCAGAUUCUUAAUCCCUGGACUACCAAGGAAGCCCCGAGAAUUGUUUCGAAAAUUAAAUGAGGAAAUCUGUGUGGUGGGUAUAACAUGGGACCUGCCCCAAAGUGAGCACUCAAAACACCUUUGACAGCAGGACUGGCGCGAGGUGUUUGGGCGUCGCUGAUCCUGGGGGCGCUACAGGUUAGCGCUGUGGAAGGCCGGUGUAGACCAAGCAGGCCCAGUGGGUCUCCAGGCACAAGGAAGGUCUAGAAAACUCCAGUGCUAACCCAACAGGGAAGACCCCAGGAUGCACGUGGAUCUUCCAACUGCACUGUGAAACCAACAACUCCAGUUUCCUCCUCCGUUUCCAAGAAUGGGACAGUCACCAGCUGGAAACCUAUAGCAGUCUUUAAAAUGACAACAUCCGAGAUCUCAGUAGAUACGACUUCCAUCACCUUAGAGCCUACAAUCCAACCAUAGGUGAACAGGGUGUGCCAAUAAGUAAAAGUUCAUCAGAAUAGAGAAGGGAUCGUUUUUUGGAAGAGGGAACUUUGAAAGAAGAAAACAAACACACACUUUGUCAAUCUCUUGAAAAUUGAGGAUGUUGUUCUUCCUGUCAGUUGCAGCUACUUCUUUAUUCUGAGACAUCCGUUUCUGUACAGCUUGUUCAGUUUCCUAGGCUUUGACACUUGUAGGUCUGGAAUGUGGAAGUACCCUGAAUGAUGAUGACGAUUUAGCAGCUUGAGACAAACUUUUGAUGAAGUGUCACGUCAACUUCUAUGCCUCUUUGAGUAUACAUUUUCUCAUAUGAUAACUUUCAACUUUGGAGGAGAAGCUUAGAUU
rnacentral:lncRNA from 1 species